rnacentral:rRNA from 1 species
GAUGAACGCUGGCGGCAUGCCUAACACAUGCCAGUCGGACGGGAAAAACGGGAAACGGUGUUUCCAGCGGCGGACGGGCGGGUAACGGGUAAGAACCUGCCCUUGGGAGGGGAACAGCAGCUGGACACGGCUGCUAAUACCCCGUAGGCUGAGGACCAAAAGGAGGAAUCCGCCCGAGGAGGGGCUCGCGUCUGAUUAGCUAGUUGGUGAGGCAAUAGCUUACCAAGGCGAUGAUCAGUAGCUGGUCCGAGAGGAUGAUCAGCCACACUGGGACUGAGACACGGACCAGACAACUACGGGCAGCAGGAGUGAGGAAUUUUCCGCAAUGGGCGAAGGCCUGACGGGGCCAUGGCGCGUGGAAGUAGAAGGCCCGCGGGGCGUGGACUUCUUGUCCCGGCGAAGAAGCAAUGACGGUACCUGCGGAAUAAGCAUCGGCUAACUCUGUG